AAAAUGAGUAUUGACUUGAGGGAGAUGGGAGUACAGGAGCUCACUCUAAAAAGUUUACUGGGUGGUAAUGGUAGUGCGCAGUUUAGAGUACUGAUGACUUUUUUGAAGGAGACAGGGCUAUAUAGUAGGAUUUGAGAUAGUUACAGGGAAAGGAGGGAGGAUAUUUGAUUGGAUAAAGUAGGGUAAAGUAGAAUUUGUAUAUAAAAUAGGGUAAAGAAGAAUAUGUAGGAAUUGUUUAAAGUAAUGAAGUUAUAAUGGUGGUAAUGUAGGAAAGAAAAGGGGGGUAAUAUAAUUUUUUUUUUUUUUUUUUUUUUUUUUUAAUAUAUAUGUAUAUAUAUGUAUAUAUAAUUAUGAAGGAGUGUAGGAGAUUGAGAAGAAGAGAGUAGACCUAUUAUCAGGUCCACAUUCCGGAACAGAGGGGGCGGUAAUGCUCCAUUAAGUUGGAUGCCAACCGCCGGUAAAAAAGAAAGAAGAAGAAGAAGAACAUUUAUUUUGCAGCUUAACUAAAAUGGAGUAAACAGGUUUGUUUUCAUCAGUAUUAGCAUGACCUGGAAGGAUGCUCAGAGCUACUGCAGACAGUAUUACACAGACCUGGUCAUCAUUCAGAAUCAAACUGAGCAGAACCAGCUGAGUGUGAUGAAACCAUAUACAAGUGCUUGGAUUGGACUGUUCAGAAAUGUGUGGAAAUGGUCGGAUGAAACAAAUGUCUCCAGUUCCUCCUUUACUAGACUGCCUUUACAAUCUGGGCUGCAGAGUCCUUGUGGUGUUUCAGAUCCUGGUGGUAUAAUCAGUUAUCAGGUCUGCUCAAACGUUCUCCCUUUCGUCUGCAUGCAACGUGCAAAGAAACAGAUUGUAAGACUGAGGGUCAAAUCUGGUCAGAAUCUCAAUGAUCCUGCAGUGAUGAUUGUUAUCUUACAGAAGAUAAAACAGAAGCUGAAGGAAUGGGGUAUAGAAAAGGAAACAAAAGUGACAUGGAGAGUUCAGGCAAAUGGAUAUGUGUUUUCACGAGUUACACAUUUUUAAGUUUCUGCAGCAGCAGUGAUGGUCAUGGCUCACUUUAACUCCAGCUGUGUGCUCAGAAGUGUCAACCCUGUGGCAGGACGUAUAAAAGGAGUAAUUCUGUGCUGGUUGUGAAUAUCAGCAGUACAUGUAAAAUGUGUUCAUAUGAUUGAUAUUGUAAACUGUCAACAACCUUAAAAGCAGUUUAAUGCAGUUUUUAUUUAAAAUAUUUAAUUUAAGGUUUAUUUUAGCACAGUUGUGAUUUCAUUUAGUAGGGGAUGCAAUUCUGUUUCCUAGUAAAAAAAAAAAAAAAAAAUCUUAUUUUAUUAUUAAAUGACUAGUAGUGUUGUGAAAGAUACUUUUCUUUAUACUAUUCCAUAAAUAAAUCACUUACAGCAAUCUUAAUACCAAGUCCCUUUUUACAGAUGCAGACCUAAAUUGGGCAAAUUCAGAAUUUAGGAAUUGGCCUCUCUUCGAUUAAUGAGUGUGAAUUAGAGCUGAACUGACCGCAACACACAGGAUGUUGAAGUGUAUAAUACUCUAGAAAAAUAAGUGUUCUCUUAAAAGUAAAAUAAAUAUGAAGAAAUUAAUUACACACACAGGCCUUCAUAUAAAACAAUAUACUGUAAGUUCACUCAGUUCUAUUCGUUCCUGUUUAUGAUUUGAAAAAAAGGUGGAAAAUUUCUGAAACUUUCUAGAUUUUUUUUUUAACUUUCCAUGAUUUUUUAGAAGCUUUCGAAAAAUGUCAGGAGGCUUCUGUAAAUAUUUGUGUCACAUCAAAACUUUUUCAAUCUUAAGAAAAUACAUAUUGUAGAAAGGUCUGGAUGUCAAAAGUCCAUAUUUGGUGUGUUUUUUAGUAAUGUUGCGAAAGAAAUUUGUGACUGGAAAAUGCAUUAAAAAAAUCAGUGGAG